GGAGAGGCCGGUCCAGCUCACCCCCGCCCACUCCCACACCGUCUGUCCUUUUGCAGCCCGCUGGCUCGCCCCGCAGAGGGAUGGAUUCAGGGGAACAGGAGCUGCACCCACACCCCAAGAGGAGAGAGCACCCUGGUCACCUGUCAGGUAACCAUGAGAGCUACCUUCUGGAUGCUACCACUGCAGCAUCCUUCGAGGGGCCCCAAAGACUGCCUCCUGCAAGCCUGCUGGGAUCUGCACACAUCUAAGCCCUCUGAGGGUUCUUGAUCUCCUGGAUUGAAAGGGGCCAACUGAGCCCUUUUGUCUAACUGAAGAUUUAGAGGGUUAGCGGGCUUCAGUUUCACCCAGCACUGGAAGCCCAAGAGUUGCUGAGGUUUGAGACACUGAUUGGUUCUAUGGCUUCUAUGGCGCCUCCUUACCAGACUGAUGGGGUAAAGGGUUGUUCCCCAACCCCUUCACCUGCUCCCCCUCCCCAAAUGCUCCCCACCCACAUCUUCAACUAUCAAGCUUCUGGCUGCUCUUUGCCCUGAGAAAAAUUAGCCCAUCCUCCCUCAUUCCUCCACACCCUCUGCCCAUGACUCUCCUGGUGUACCUGAUUCAUCAAGCCCCUCCCCACCCUAUACAAAUACACCUGAGGACAGACAGAGCCUCAGACUUCCUGCAGCUCCUGGCUCUGUACUCUCAGGUGUUCCUUUUGUCACUCCCUGUACUUGGCGGAUAAAGAUGGAUCCAGGUAAGUGCUGUGGCUGGGAGGCUGUGGGGUGAAGAAGGAAGGAGACAGGUAAGAGCAGAGGCCGUCAGCCAUAUCUAUGCAUGCCGAGAACGUAUGUGUGUGUGAAGGUGGUGGAGGGUUCUAAGAGGAAAACAAUCUCUUACAUCUUGUAGAACCCUUCAGAGUUUAGGAGACAUGCUCAUACAGCCUUCAUCUCACUAGCCCUCAGGAGUAAAGCAGACAGGUGCUUCUCCCACCGUACACAUGGGAAACUAGGGGCCAUGCUCAGGAUGAGAUUGUGGGGAUACAAGGUCUGGAGCCCAGAACUCCGCUCUUGGCAGCUGUGCCCUUGGCUCCCCUCAAAAGGAACAAAGGACUAUCCUGGUCCUCAAGAAAUUCCAGUCUCCCCAAGCAGAUGAUUCCCACCAAUGGAGCACUUCAAAAGGCUCUGGACCACCCAGAUUGGUUGUUGCAGAUUGAGCCCCCCCCCCACCCACUGUGGGCAAGUAGAGUGGCAGGAUGGCCCAGUAGAAGCAUACUUUCUGCAGGAAGGCACACAGAACAGAGCGAAAAAGCUAUCCAAGAGGCAGGAGCCACAAGCAAAGGCUAAGAGCUGGGGCCAGAAGAUCAGAAGCAGGAACACAUGAACACCUGAGGUUCUAAGCAGAGACUGGGUCAGAAAAAGUCAGAUUUGUGGGAGGAGGUGGACUGGGGAGGCAGAGUGGGGACCAUCUGGAGGUGUAAGCAGAAGAGUCAGGAUUUGCCACUGUGGAGUACCUCCCUUUGUGUCACGGAAUUUGGCCAAGGUUGAGAGGGCAGACAGCCGGCAGGCUGGGGAUGAGAACCCAUGUCCCCUGACUUCACCCCACCCUGGAGGACUCCGUCAGCUCUCCAGCAAACAGGGAUACACAACAGAGCUUCGUACUGACUUCCAAUUAUCUGUAUCUGUUGUUGAGAGAAGGAAUGAUGGUUAGGCAAGUGACCAGUUCUGAGGAGCCUUUGCGGGGCUUGGCAAUGAGGGUGGGGCAGUUUGGUGGCCACAAAACCAAAUGACCAAAGCUACUUCUUUUUCUCCUUUCCUCUCCCACAGAUCCAAAGGUAAGAAAGCUCUCCAGCCAUCUCCCUUGCUCCUCCCCACUGCCAUGUCCUCCAGACCUCCAGCCCCCUCCCUUGACCUUCAGGGAGUAGCCAUGACCUUCCUGAAAUGAAGAGUGCGGAGCAGGCUUGGCCAUCAGCCCCAUGGGCGGGCAGGCAGGGGCACCACAGUGCUCCUCCACCCCCAGCCCGCUGCAGCCUUCUCCUCAGCGCCUCUCCUGUUUUCCCAUCUGUCUCUCCCGCUUCCUCACAUCCCCUCCCUGUCUCAGCUUCUCUCCUGCUGUUUCCCCGCCUGUUUCAUGCUUCUCUGCUUUCCUGGCUACCCCCACAGCCUCCCUGGAUGGCUGGCUUGCUCCCAAACCCCAACCACACUGCAGGGCUCCAGUGACCUGCCUCUGCUGGAGAAAGGAGGCUGCCUACCCACCUCCCCCCAUGGGUUCCCACCAGCAGAUGGGGCUCCUAGGCCUGGAACUGGCCCCACCCCAAGGAGAUUCAUAGAAGGAAAGGCAGGCGGGGUGGGAAGUGGUUGUUUGCAGGCAUCACUGAGGCUAGAUGAGGAAGGGGCUGCUCUGACAUGGUCAAGGGAAGCACCCCCCGCCCCCCAGCCCUAGAGCCUACCUCUACUUUUCCCAUGCCAAGCCCUCACUGGGGCUUAGGGGGCAGAAGCCAACAGGGCUAGGGCCAUAGCCCCACCCCUGCUCCCUCAGGGCUCCAGGUCCCCAGUGCCCCAGCACCGGGAGCAAGGUACCUGGUGUCUCCGUUCUCUUCCCUGGGCCUGUGGCAAGAGGCAAAGAAACUCCUCUGGCAUUGGGGCCUCAGGAAUUGUUCCAGCAAAGACAGAAGGUUAAGCCACACUCUUUCCGGCCUCUGCUGGCUGAGGCAAUACAGCCUUGAUUUUACUAUUUUUAUUCUUCCUGGUUUCUUGAGUCUAGCACCUGCUCAGGGACAGGCAGGGGCUCACGCACGCUCCCACUGUCACAUAUACACAUGCACACACGUGCGCCUACAUGCGUGUAUCUGGGGGCACAGCAGGUAUGCGUGCCUCAAUCUGUGUACCUGUGCAUGGGGUGGGGCCCACCUGUGCACAGGCACACAGACAUAACUCUUUGCAUGUAAAUAGAGCACAUCCCCUUGCACCUACACACACACACAGAGACACAUAAAAACACUGUAUAGAGAACGGACAUAUCCUCACCUGCCACCUCCUGCUUUUGUUCUCCUCCCACCCUCCAGCUACCCUCCCUCUCACCACCCCCCAGGGCUCCUGCAUCACUGUUAACCCUGCCUCUUGUCUCCUCCUUGCUCCUGGCCCUCAGGGAGCUCCCUUAGAGCCACCCCCAGCACACCCUCACUUGUGAGUAGUCAGCCUGCAGUUUCCAGUUGGGCAAAAUCUCCAAUGACUCUGUAAGGGUUCCUGGGUGAGAAAAGGGAGAUGAGAUCAUUCUGCUCCUUAGCUAUAGAAAUAAACCAAGGUCCAAGGAGUAGGAGUCAUUUCUUGGCUCAAGGAAUGGAAACCAAUGAAUCUAGGUUCUUCCCCUUUUGUCUGCUUAGUGCUCUGGCUUCAUCACUUGCUGACCCUGUCUCCCAGCCCUCCACCACCAUCCCCUGCUAGUGUCCAGGAAUCCAGAAUCCUCCAUGACAGAAGGUGGAGGGGAGGGGGGAAGAAGAGGGAAGUUGAUCUCAGGCAAGACUGCCGCUGACCCCUGACUCUAACAUUGUUCAUUUGGUUUUCCACAGGGGCACUGCCAUGGUGGUGGCAAUGGCCCAGGGCACUGUCCUGGGGGAAACCACCCCCAAGAGCCCUGUGGGCACCCCCCUGGCCAUGGCCCAGGACAUGGUCCUGGGGGAAACCACCCCCAAGAGCCCUGUGGGCACCCCCCUGGCCAUGGCCCAGGACACGGUCCUGGGGGGAACCACCCCCCAGGGCCCUGUGGACCCCCACCUGGUCCACCUCACUAAGGAAGCAGAAGAAUGAGGACACAAUGGGGAGCCCGAGUUGCGUUGCCCUGCUGACCUGGCAUGGAGCCUGAAGCAGAAUCUUCUCUUCCUAAUAAACAGCCUCCCAGAGGCCAUAUUUUAUUCUUAAA